rnacentral:rRNA from 1 species
AAANAUAGCCAUUAGAUGAUAUUUAUGGUUAAACCUGCCCAAUGUUUUAAGAAUGAAUGGCCGCGGUACCCUGACCGUGCUAAGGUAGCGUAAUCAGUUGGCUUUUAAAUGGAGUCAGGAAUGAAUGGGAAAACCGGGUUUAGCUGUCUCUUAGUUAUUACUUUGAAUUUACUGUUUAAGUGAAAAAGCUUAAUUUUGGAAAAGGGACGAGAAGACCCUUAGAAUUUUUUUUAAAAAGUUUAAAUUUACUUUAUGAUUUUAUUGGGGCGAUAAAGAAAUAUUUAAAACUUUCUGUAAAUACAAGCCGAUUAUAUUAAGCAAGGAUAAAUUACCUGAGGGAUAACAGCAUAAUUCUAUAGUUGAGUUUGUGACCUCGAUGUUGGACUAGGAAACUAACAGGCUAGCCGUUUGUUGAGUGGGUUCUGUUCGAACUUUAAUUCCU